rnacentral:lncRNA from 1 species
AAACAGUUUAAGUAUAAGGAAACAUUUGUUUGAAACACAAUUGUAAAUGAGUUUGAAAUGAAACAUACAGUGUAUAAUGAAUAGUUUAAUAAGGAGUUUUAAACAUAUAAAACGUUUAUGAAAAUCAUUUGAAGAAAACUGUUUGGUAAAACAGCUAAUGCGUAGUAAAUCAUUUGAAUGCUACUUAUUAAUCGCAUGUCAUUGAUAUAAUAACUAGCAUGAUUCUACUUGUAUCCCCCCCCCCCAUAAAAACAUUUAAAACAUUUAAAACAUUGAUUAAGGGGUAUGAACUCACGUGUAGUGAGUGGUACGGAUGAACUGAAGAUGUAGGAUUGCUAAGUGUCAAGUGAAGUCUUGAACACACUCUAUGAUUCUAGUUAACAUAUAAUCUCAAAUAUAUGUAUCCUAUUAGUCUUUAAACAACUAAUAAACAAGUCAAGACACCUUAGGACAUGCUAAUCACCUUAUACAAGUGUUACAAGUCUCAAGUAUUGCAUCUAAGUGUUAUAGGGAAGGGCUAGUUUGCUUGGGGUUCAAGGAACAUUCCAUUAGGGAGUUUACGGUUUUGUGGUCCCUAGAAAAAGGGUUUAUCAAAUAUAUGUAUCCUAUUAGUCUUUAAACAACUAAUAAACAAGUCAAGACACCUUAGGACAUGCUAAUCACCUUAUACAAGUGUUACAAGUCUCAAGUAUUGCAUCUAAGUGUUAUAGGGAAGGGCUAGUUUGCUUGGGGUUCAAGGAACAUUCCAUUAGGGAGUUUACGGUUUUGUGGUCCCUAGAAAAAGGGUUUACGGUCAUAAACUCACCCUCUUUUUGACCAUUUGUUUUUUGAAGACUUCUAAGCCAAUCCAAGCAUUCCUACUUCAUGUUUAAGUCUUAGGAAGUGUUGUGUGGCAUCAAAGCACUCCUAAAUGGAGUUUACGGUUUAUGGACCAUUUCUCCAUGAGUUUACUACCGUAAACUCUCAUGGACUUAGGUAUUUUGAUGUUUUCAAGUCCUAAACACUUCAAGGUAAUAGCCUAGGUUAGAUUCUAGGCAUAAGGAGUAAAUAUGGGACAUUUAUACACCUUUUGGGGUGUUUACGGUUUUGGGAGAUCCCCAAACCGUAAACACAUAUAAAUGUGAUAUGUUUGUACUUUUUGUGUGAUAAACUCAUCAAGGAUGGAUCUAGAAAAGUCCCUAAGGCAUUGUGAAGCAUCUAGGCACCCCAAGGUACCACUUUUCACCUUACUUGGUGUUUAC